AAAAAAAGGAAAAAAUAGAAUGCAUCUUUCCCUUUGCUCGUGUGAGAGGAUUUUCAACAUCCCAGCCCGCAGCAUCCCAGAGCUCAGGUAGCCUGGGCGACAGAGCAAGACUCCGUCUCAAAAAAAAAAAAAAAAAGAAAGAAAAUGAAAACGACCAUUUCUGAUACCUGUAAUGCUUACGCACUCCAGCUUCACUGCCUGUCUGGUCCCUGGGUUUCCUCAUCUUCAGAUGCUGUGUUACUUUCCUCUGGAUUCUGUAACAAAUUACCACAACCCACCAGGGUGGCUGAAUAGCCCAGAUUUCUCCCCGUGGCUCUGGAGGCUGUAAUGCUGGAAUCUCGGUGUUGGCAGAACUCGGCUCCCUUCGAGGCCUUAGGAAGGACCCUGCCUUGCCUCUUCCUCGUUCCUCGGCUGCCUCCUUCUCCACGUGGGCCUCUCCCACAUUUCUUAUCCCUUUCUUGUAAGUAAACUAGUAAUAUUGGUUAAGAACCCAAACUGCUGUAUACGGUAUGUACUAUAUGCGGC
rnacentral:lncRNA from 10 species